UCCGUCGACUUUAGAAAUCGUGAGGGUUCAAGUCCCUCUAUCCCCA
rnacentral:tRNA from 40 species